rnacentral:rRNA from 1 species
ACACUCCUGCGGGAGGCAGCAGUGGGGAAUUUUGGACAAUGGGCGAAAGCCUGAUCCAGCCAUGCCGCGUGCAGGAUGAAGGCCUUCGGGUUGUAAACUGCUUUUGUACGGAACGAAACGGCCUUUUCUAAUAAAGAGGGCUAAUGACGGUACCGUAAGAAUAAGCACCGGCUAACUACGUGCCAGCAGCCGCGGUAAUACGUAGGGUGCAAGCGUUAAUCGGAAUUACUGGGCGUAAAGCGUGCGCAGGCGGUUAUGUAAGACAGUUGUGAAAUCCCCGGGCUCAACCUGGGAACUGCAUCUGUGACUGCAUAGCUAGAGUACGGUAGAGGGGGAUGGAAUUCCGCGUGUAGCAGUGAAAUGCGUAGAUAUGCGGAGGAACACCGAUGGCGAAGGCAAUCCCCUGGACCUGUACUGACGCUCAUGCACGAAAGCGUGGGGAGCAAACAGGAUUAGAAACCCCGGUAGUCCCAUGA